GCCAUGCAUGUCUCAGUGCAGCCGUACGCGCUCGCGCGUCUAGGUGAAACCGCGAAAGGCUCAUUAAAUCAGUUAUGGUUCCUUGGAUCGUACCACUCAGUUACUUGGAUAACUGUGGUAAUUCUAGAGCUAAUACAUGCCGACAGAGUUCCGACCGCCUCGUGCGGGAGGAACGCUUUUAUUAGAUCAAAACCCAUCGGCGUGGUUUCGGCCACGCCGACAACACUCGGUCCCCUUCGCGGGGGCCGACCAAGUGGUGACUCUGAAUAACUUUGUGCUGAUCGCACGGUCUCAGUGCUGGCGAUGCAUCUUUCAAAUGUCUGCCUUAUCAACUGUCGAUGGUAGGUUAUGCGCCUACCAUGGUGGUAACGGGUGACGGGGGAUUAGGGUUCGAUCCCGGAGAGGGAGCCUGAGAAACGGCUACCACAUCCAAGGAAGGCAGCAGGCACGCAAAUUACCCACUCCCAGCUCAGGGGAGGUAGUGACGAAAUAUAACGAUACGGGACUCAUCCGAGGCCUCGUAAUCGGAAUGAGUACACUGUAAAACGUUUAACAAGGAUCCAUUGGAGGGCA
rnacentral:rRNA from 1 species